rnacentral:misc_RNA from 1 species
GUUGGAAACAUGAUCCGACCGAACAAUUAUUGUUAAUCUGUUAGGGUUGCGUUAGCAAACUACAGUGAAAACUUUAUUGGAGUAUUUAUUAUGCACUCGUAAAGUUGUGUACUAUAAAUUAAUUAACUCCCUGGCACGUGGCCAGACUAUCGACAUUUUUGGGUAAAAGUAAGAUAUCCUGGGAUAAAUGAACCCUAGGGACUAAAAUUAUCAUCAUUAACUUGAUUUUAAUCAUUGCUAUUAUUAUUAUUAUGAAUGAACAUGAUGAUAAUUUUCUUUUGCUCCUUUUUUAUGGGUUGUCAGCAAACGAG